ensembl:lncRNA
AUGAAAACGGCACCUUUCUGUUGGUUUUUAGCAAACACAAUUUCACUUAAAAUUUGGCCCAAAUUACCAUCCAACAUUUCAUGUUUUCCUGACUACAAAUCCAGAGAUUGUGACUCUGAUGGUCAAAUACCAAGAGGGGACAGAAACCUGGAAAUCAUCUGUUUACCUGCAGCACCAAGAACAGAAACCUUAAUGAGGAGUGUCCCAGCUGAGGCCCGAGUCCCAGCAGCUGAGAGGCUGCUCACAGUUCGCUCACAGUUUAUUGAAAGAGUGUCUGAACCUGUUUUAAACAAACAUCUGGAUAAACUCCUGCAGCAGUGUGUUAUCAAUGAUCAGGAGAUGGAAUCAGUCAGAUCACAGCAGAGCAGAAAAAGCACGAGACGUGAUCGACACGAGGAAGUGAAGCCAGCUCACUGCUGAUCGCUGCUCUCUGUGAGGAGGAUUGAUGCCUUUCCACAGAGCUGAACCUGAAUGAAGACAGACUUGGAAAGAGUCUGUGGAGCUGUGACCAUGAAUCUCAAAGACCACUGACAGUGUCACUGUGAUCUUCAUGUGACGUGUUUUUAAACUGCACUUUAGUUCUGAAAGUGCCUCUCAUUAAAACCUGGACUCUGAUUAGAUGCUGAGCAGGACAUUGGAUGGACUGAAGCAGAGUCUGGGACCUCAGUAAUUAUUAGUGCACAAACCAGGAAAUAUGUGAAGCUCCAUUAAUGCUGAACCACAUCUACAGGUUGAAGAGCAACAGCUCAGGUUAUCUGGGACCAGAGUCAGUUUCCACCAAUAUAACUGAAGCUGUUUCUACCUGUAAUGCUGGAAUAACCUAUUGAAUCACAUGAUCAGUGUUUACAAUCUGUUUACUGAGGUUUAAACUCUCCUCUGUGCUUCUGCUUUGAGCAGCACGUUGUGCUUCUGCAUGUUUAAAUAAAGUUUUGCUGCUUGCUUACUUAUGCUGGAGUUUGAAUUCAGAGAUCAGGAACUUAGAAAACUGAUAACUGAUGGACAACAGGGCGAUAAGGGGAAGUGGAGACAGGUGGGAGAACAAGACACAGGUGAACGAAAUCACAGCAAACAAGACGAGGGAAACAAAAGCAAAGCACGAGGACGACAACUCGCCAAAAUAAAGCAGGAAAUGUGAAAACUGAAACAGACACAUGAAUAAAGUUAAUACGAGAGACUAGACCCGAGAGGGAGAAACACUGAGAGAGGAAUAAACUCUAAAGUAGCAGCAAACUAGGAACAAACCAAAUAUACAUGAAUCCAUCUAAAACCAUGAUUCAAAGAGAUUCUUUAAAUAAAGACGAGAAAGUCAGGACCAGGUUUUUAAUAGUUUUGCAAUUUUCAUUAGUUUUUAUUUUUAUUUAGUUUUGACUUCAGAUUUUCAAUUUUAUAUUAGUUUUAAUUAGUUUUUACUAAUUGUUUGCUAGUUUAGUUUAGUUUUUAUUUUUUUGAAAAUCCUUAGUUUCAGUUUAGUUUUGAUUAGUUUCAGUUAUAGUUUUAGUUGUGUUUGCAAUAAAGUGUAACAAAAUCCCAGUUUCAUCAUAUCAGUCAUUCUCUUCUGCUUAUCCUUGGGUAUGUUGCUAUUCCAGCUACCAUACCCUGCACCCUGGACAGGUCGCCUGUCUGUCGCAGGGCUAACACGCAGAGACAGACAACUCACAUUCCCACCUAUGGGUUCUUUAAAUAAAUAAAUACAUAUAUAAAUAAAGGCAGAUGAACAACCAUUGAUACCAGGCAACUAUAAAAUGUAUAUCUUGGCCCCAAUGAGACUAUUAACUCUUGCAGCACCGGGUGUUAAGGCAAUUGACUCACACCGUUAUGUAGAUAUCCCAGUCCUGUUGUCUCGGGAUGCAUCACGCUGCCUUGCCUGGGGUUAGCUUCUGUUUCUGGGGAUGAGGGUUGGGCGUGCUCCCUUACCUUCUCAAGGUAAGCUAGGUUAGCCUUCUUGUGUGAGUUUUUCAAGUGCACUUUAAGGUUUGUGGGAUUUUUUUCCCUUUAGAAAUGUCCCUUAUAAUUUGUCUCUUUCCACUACAAGACACUUGCUUUAUCCAAAACACAGUCAUAUUCAAAGUAAUCCCAAAUUGGAAGCUGGCGCUUUCUCCAGACUUUUCCUGACGUGAUUCUGCGCGUGGACGGAGCACCAACACAGACAACUCGACUAACGUACUUGCCACCUGCUGGCACAAUGAGACACAGCAAGAAAAAAACCUGGAAACUAAACUUCAUUUUCACCCUUGACUAUUGUAUGACACGCACACAUCAACAAAAACUAAACACAUUUUUGCUAUAAAUUCAGUUAAUUUUAGUUAGAUUUGUGAACACUCAUUACAGUUUUAGUUAGUUUUCCUUUUUUUGUUUUUGUUUUUAUUUUUAUUUUCGUUAACGAAAAUGUUUUUUCACUUCUAGUUUUCGUUAUUUCGUUAGUUUUCAUUAACGAUAAUAACCUUGGUCAGGACACAUCGAGGCAGCUGAGUUUUAUAUUGUUCUGCCCUUUUCCUCAUUGGAAAUGAUUUCAGUGGCUGAAAUAAAUGAAUUAACCCCCACAGAGGAGGCAGCUUUGUUGUGUGUUUGGUUACAGACAGUGUUGGGAAGGUUACUUUUAAAAUGUAUUCCACUACAGAAUACUGAAUACAUGCCCCAAAAUGUAUUCUGUAACGUAUUCCAUUACGUUACUCAAUGAGAGUAACGUAUUCUGAAUACUUUGGAUUACUUAAUAUAUUAUCAUGCUGUUUACAACUACGUGAAUGUACUAUUGCUGUGAUUUAUUACUGUUACUGAAGGUCCGCGGCUCCGAAACAUAGUAAAGGGACCUCUGGCUAAUACUUCGGGUUCCAUGUCGGGCUGGUAGCCGAAAACUAGCUUUACUUUGUUGUCUGGGUCAACUUUGCUUGCCAGAGACAGAGAGAGGCGUUGAAAGGCUUCUCCAACGGAACUUAUUUUUUCCGGAGGAAAACACGAACACAGUGUACAGUUGAGUCUUAAUAGCUUACUUACAAAUGGGCUCGUCAGGCACUCUUCUUGGCUGCUGUGGUUAUUAUUAUAUUUACAUGCUUCCAGCUCCCGUUUUUGCUCCGUGACAGCUCGGACUUCCUUUCUCUCCCUCCCUCGCUCACAGACACAUAACGGGUAUGGUAGUCCAUUCUCCCUGCAGCACGGACUACACUGCCCAUGAGGCUACAUUCUUUAGAGCUAUACCUGUAGCAUUCUGCCUUUUAGCUUAGCACAACAACAACAACAAAAAGGCGCUCUCUCACCCAGGAAACACGCAGAGAGAGAGCGCGUCACCCUGUAACCAUGGCAACCGUAACGCUGCCGCCUGGAACAACAGAACAUAGCUGUCAAACAAACCCAAACAGUCCUGACCCGCGACAAUAUGAAACAGGGAAGUACCGCCGUGUAAUCCAUUUAUUUCAACAAAGUAACUGUAUUCUGAAUACCACCUUUUUAAACGGUAACUGUAACGGAAUACAGUUACUCAUAUUUUGUAUUCUGAAUACGUAACGGCGGUACAUGUAUUCCGUUACUCCCCAACACUGGUUACAGAGUCACUAAGAAACACACACAAUCCCCCGGCCUGGGUUACCAUGGACACAGUCAAACUUUCAUUCACUUCCUGUUUCCACUGUUAGUCUGACUUCACUGGUUGGUCCCAGAGUAUCAGAGACUCGUCCUCAGACAGACGCACACAGGUGAGUCAGCACAGGUAUUAUAACCCUGCUGGUUUCUGAUCUGAUGAAACAUCAUCUCAUUAUUAUUACUGAGUCUUGUUUUUAUUUGGGAGCUUUAUUAACACGAGAUUUAUCUUCAUUUUAUCUGUGGUCUUAUGAUAGAUGAUGGCAGCACAGUUUCACAG